rnacentral:lncRNA from 1 species
GAGUAGCUGAGAUUACAGGCACGUGCCACCACGCCCGGCUAGUUUUUGUAUUUUUAGUAGAGAUGGGGUUUCACCGUAUUGGCCAGGCUGGUCUCAAACUCCUGACGUCAUGAUCCACCUGCCUCGGCCUCCCGAAGUGCUGGGAUUACAGGCGUGAGCCACCGUGCCCGGCCGACAACCUCUUGUAGGUGACCCGGUGUCUUCAUUUUCCUUUCAGGGACUGAGGAUGCUGGGCGAGACACCGUCAACACAAGGCUCCUUACCAGCCUAGGGGAAGACCAGACACCCGCAUCCAUACCCAAAACCCGGCAAGCCGCCUCCUGAUGAAAGCCCCGUGAAACACAAGAAGCAUUGCUUCAAAAUACUCCUGAAGAUAAAGGAAUCUCAGAGUAGGGCUUCUAUUAGGUAAAAGGCUUAUGAUAACCUCAUGUAAGAGGUUAAACAAAAGUUACAGGGCUUAGGCCAGGCACAGUGGCUCACGCCUGUAAUCUCAACACUUUGGGAGGCUGAGGCGGGUGGAUCACGAAGUCAGAAGAUCGAGACCAUCCUGGCUAACAUGGUGAAACCCCAUCUCUACUAAAAAUACAAAAAAUUGCCAGGUGUGGUGGCGGCGCCUGUAGUCCCAGCUACUCAGGAGGCUGAGGCAGGAGAAUGGCGUGAACCUAGGAGGCAGAGCUUGCAGUGAGCCGAGACCAGGCCACUGCGCUCCAGCCUAGGCAACAGUGUGACUCUGCCUCAAAAAAGAAAAGUUACAGGGCUUAGAACAGCACUGAGGGGACUGGGCGACUACUGGAGAGAGACCAACCAAAGACUGGGAGGACCCUGGAUUUCAAAGGGGAAGGAAAGAGGGACACUUUUCGACUUUCUCCUGUUUGUGUGGAUGUUGGAUUUUCUCCUGGGAACCAGACUGGCACAGAGAAAGGUGACACUGUUUCCUUUCCACUCCCUUACUCAGUCCCUGAUCUUGGCGCUACAAGUAUCAGUCAGAGUCCAAUUAGGAGACAGAAACCACACAGUAAUUCAAACAAGCUUAAUAUAAAUAUACCUUAUUAAUUACAACAUGUUACAGCGUAACAAUACUAUAAUAGAUUAUUGAGGAAUUGGCUCAUAAUAAGUAAAGAAGAUUGUAAAGAAUGUGGGAGGGCCGGGUGCAGUGGCACACGACUGUAAUCCCAGCACUUUGGGAGGCUGAGGUGGGUGGAUCAUUUGAGGUCAGGUCCAAAAAGCAUGGUAAAAAACGGGAAGGAAGGGGAGGGUCUGGGAA